CGUAACUGGUUUUACAAUGUAGGCGAUUGAUUACCUGGACAAGCUUCUUCGGUAUGAUCAUCAAGACAGAUUAACUGCAAAAGAAGCAAUGGCUCACCCGUAUUUUGCGCAAGUCAGGGCAGCAGAAAGCAGCAGAAUGAGGACUCAAUAGAGAGUAUUUGAGACAUUACUGUUGUUGAGGAUUUUUCUUUUUCCUUUUUCUUCUCCGGUGUGCUCUUCUUUUCUUUUGUUGCCUACUAAAAACAAUUUCAAGUCCAUGUGUUUCUUCUGAAAUGUGUCAAUUAUUUAAAUAUAGAGUUCUAAAAGUUUAUUACCAUUUUCGUAUUUUAUUCGAGAAAUCUUGGAAGUUU